UCCAAGUGUAAGACUGCUCUUGCCUUUAUUCAUGAUUCAUACUACCAGCCAAGCUCAGUAGGUAAGAGACAGUUGGAGUCUGCAAAGCGGGAGAAUGCUGCAUUCUUCAUCUGGACUGUGGACAACAUGGGGAUCAUGGACUACUUGCUCCAGUUCAUGUGGGAAUGGAGUGAUACUUAGAAGCCGCAAGUGUCUGAGGUCUUUUUCAAAGGAUAAGUGUGUGGGAAAGACGCGGCAGUACAAAACUUGUCAGUCUAUG